CCUGCGCCUCCUCCGCCGCCUGCUCCUGCGGGAAGGGCCUCCGCCGCGGCGCGCCUCUCGCCUCUGCUUCUCCUUCCCUCCUCUCCGCGCGCCCCUCCAGAAUGUUCAUCCGUAAUCUACAUAACUCCUCCUUCCCGGGGUCUGCCCGACUCCCGGGUGCUCGGCGCGCGCGCGGACACGCGCACACACAUAUGCACGCGCACACACAUAUGCACACGCACACACACACACACACACACACGUCUGCAAACGAGCACACACACAACCCGACCUGCGCGCGCUUCUUAAAGGAGACGGCUCGUAAAGGGGAAUCGCGCUCUGGAAGCAGCCAGCGCGCGCGAGGGGCCCUGGAUGAGGACCGCGUCUGUGACACACCGCCCACCCUCAUCCCCGAGGCGGGCACCCGGGAACCUGGGCGGCUCCAUCCUUUCGUCUCGCCCUCCCCGCGCCGUGUACCUAGAAACAAGUGCGCCCCUCCCCUGCCCGGCACUGGGUGGGGCGCAGGCUGUGGACCCCCGUGUGGGCCGGGCCUGGUCCUGGAGACCGACCGGCGUCCUCAGUCGAGCCGCCCUGCAAGGCCAGGGGGCUCUGGGAAUCGGGGGGAGCGCCGGGGUCAUUGUGCUCUGCUUGGGGACUCCGGUCGGUCGGCCGGCUGGCCAAGUUUGGGAAGCCUGAGAUGCCAGCAGAGGGGAAGAGGAGCCCGCGGGAAGAACCGCAGGCGAGACGGAGAAUGAGGGCCAUUCAGGGUGUGACAGCCGCCUCGGCGAGGCUUAGAGGGACUCACCAGGGAGAUGCGCAGGUCAGCUGGUCGAGCAAAAGUAGGCCUGCAAGACGUCGUGAUGUGAUGGCAGGGGACGACGCAAUGCCUGCUUGAGGAGAUGCAGUGAGGCUGAGUCCUUGAAAAUGGCUCCAACUGUGGGAACAAUGGCAGAACGAACAUUUCAAGGACAGGGAGGAGUGAAACACCCCUGAUCCCCGGGUCCACUCGCAAGGAUCCUAUCCACUCUGUUGUGAGGAAGCCCAGCCACAUGCACAGGCCGUGUGCAGGUGAUCUCGCUGAGAGCCCCCACCGCAGCCCCAGCCAACAGUACCAACCUGCAAGACACGGUAGCACAGAGGCAGAGACUCUGAGUCUAAACAGACCCAGAUUCUGAACAGACCUGACGCUGCUGGGAGGAGGCUGGAGAUGUGGAUCCAAAGCUGGCCAAUAAAACCAAUGGGAAGUUUUCUGAUGUUUCCAAGAAAAUGUAUUGUGUUGACUGAUAAUGGCAAAAUUCUAUGUAAAUAAAGUCAUCAAACCAGCCUUUGUAUGAAGCCAGAACUAUGUAUGGCAGAGAAGAGAGAACUAAAGAUGACAAGUCUUUAGCAACCUCAUUGAAAUUUGUGUAGCAACAAACCCGAAGGUAUCCUGGUGAAGUCUACCUUCUGACCCGUUGAUUUGGGCUUGGCCAUGUGACCUGCUUUGGCUAAUUGAAUGUGUGCAGACAUG
rnacentral:lncRNA from 1 species